AAAAUCACACUGAAGCAUCUGGAGUGUUUGCAAUUUAUUCUGAAGUGUUUCAGAAAAAAAAAAAAAAGCCAAAGUCUACUGAGAGACAGAAGAUGAAUGAUAAAACUAGUGUAAUGCCCUUGGCAAAUCUGGGUGAAGAAAAAUCUGUUCAUUCUUUUUUUUCAUCAGUCAAAAUUUGUUUUUACAAAAGACUUUAAAUAAAUAACAUUCUGGGAGAACGGAAUUGUUGUACCUUGGACCAUGUUCCCUUGGCAAGAUUAGGACAUGGUUGGAGAAAGUCCUGAGCUAACAGUGUCCCAAAUGCCACGUGGAAUGAGUUCCUGAUGGAACAUAUAAGAGCAAUUAUCAAGGAGUGGAGCAAAAGGUAUUUCUCAGGCCAGAUGGUAGAUGUCUCCCAUAGAGAAGAUUUCUUGAUUUCAGUUAUCUGAUGAUCAUUCUCAAGAUAAACUUGUGGACAAGUUCUUCUAUUUCCAACUUCAAUCAGAACCAUGAAUUCUAACAGCCUCCUUCUUCCUCUCUCAGUAUCAAACGUGGGAGAAAAAGUGUCAGAAGUGGGAGAAUAUGACUCACUUAAAGGUAUGCACUUUGGAAACAGACUUUGCUGGCUUAUGUGUUGCAAAUACCAUCUUACAGGCUACGAUGUUCUAAUUUUUCUUUGCAUAGGAAUAAUAAAAAAUAAAUUGUUCUACCACUAUUUUUCUGGGCAUUGUUUCUCGCCUUCUUUUCUUUAUCCUCUUCUCCUAAAUUUCCCAUUAGAAUAUAUGAGAUCAUUUCAUUCUUUUUCUCCAUACCUAUGAACAAUUUCUUUUUUUUCAUCAUUUUCCCUCUCUGUUCAUUACUCCGUGUAAUAUUAUCACACCUAAUUUCUGGCUCAUCAAUUCUAUUUUCAGCUGUGUUCAUCUGAUUAUCUUUCU
rnacentral:lncRNA from 1 species